rnacentral:rRNA from 1 species
GAUGAACGCUGGCGGCGUGCCUAAUACAUGCAAGUCGAGCGAACAGACGAGGAGCUUGCUCCUCUGACGUUAGCGGCGGACGGGUGAGUAACACGUGGAUAACCUACCUAUAAGACUGGGAUAACUUCGGGAAACCGGAGCUAAUACCGGAUAAUAUAUUGAACCGCAUGGUUCAAUAGUGAAAGACGGUUUUGCUGUCACUUAUAGAUGGAUCCGCGCCGCAUUAGCUAGUUGGUAAGGUAACGGCUUACCAAGGCGACGAUGCGUAGCCGACCUGAGAGGGGAUCGGCCACACGGGAACUGAGACACGGGCCAGACGCCUACGGGAGGGAGCAGUAGGGAAUCUUGCGGAAUGGGCGAAAGCCUGACGGAGCAACGCCGCGUGAGUGAUGAAGGUCUUCGGAUCGUAAAACUCUGUUAUUAGGGAAGAACAAAUGUGUAAGUAACUAUGCACGUCUUGACGGUACCUAAUCAGAAAGCCACGGCUAGCUACGUG